CCACCCCACCCCCGGCUCUUGAUUGACGCUCAUUUAAAUGCGCUCCAUGAAAAGCAACUUCGUGCUUGUUACUGGCAAAGUGGCAGGCGUUAUCACCAGUGACAAAUCACAGCUACCAAAGCAAAAAGAAAAGCAGCCGGACUGAGGCUGGGGAUUGGCCCUUUUCGCCACUCCUCCUGUGGCUGGCUGGCGUUUGGCUGGUGGCUGGCUGAGUUAUCUGGGUCUCUCCUCUAUCCCAGAUUGGCCCUGGAGUGGCUUCGAAUGGACUUGAAUUUCUGAGUUUGGGCGUCCCCGUGCGGGGAGCAGGGACCUGGAAACAGCCCAAGUGUCCUCCGAAGGGUCAAGACAUCGACAAGCAACAGGAAUUCGUCAAUCCAGGCUGUGACACACAGCCAGCGGAGACGGCAGAUACAGGUGCAAGAAAUGUGUAAGGCUUCCUCCAUCCUCCACGGGAGUUCCUUCAGCUCAGGAGGGAAACAAAUCAACGGCUCCACGGAUGUCCCUGAAAAUGAGCAGAUGCCCCCUUCGUCCCUCCUUCCCUCCCUCCCCCACCACAGCAGAAAAAUAAUGAGAAUCAAUAAACACUGCUCACUGAUAACUCGCAGCGCCAAUGGUAUCAAUUCUCCAAUAAAAAGAUACAAACUCCCAGAACAGAUUCCAAAACAGAAUCCAUCCUCUUGCUGCUUCCAAGAAACACACUGUAGCAUCAAGGCUAGACAUCACAUCAGGUUAAAAUGAUGGAAACAAACAAACAAAAAAUCUCCCGGGGCUAGAUGGUUUUCAAAUAGAAAUCUACCAGAUUUUCAAAGAGUUAACUACAAUACUCCUCAAACUACUCCACAAAAUAGAAACAGAAGGAGCACUGCCUAAUUCGUUUUCCAAGGCUACAGUUAUCCUGUAAAACGAAACCACACAAAGACCAAACAAAGAAUUGCAGGCCAAUUUCCCUUAUGAACAUAGAUGAAAAAUAUUCAACAAAAUACCUGCAAACCAAAUCCAAUAACGCGUCAAAAAGUUCAUGCAAUGAUCAAAUAGGUUUCAGCCCAGAGAUUCAGGAAAGGUCCAACAUACGUAAAUAGAUAAAUAUAACCCACCAUAUAAAAAGACUGAAAGACAAAAACCACUUGAUCAUCUCAUUAGAUGGGGGCGCGGGGUCCUUUGACAAAAUCCAAAAACCCCUUCAUAAUAAAAGUCCUGGAGAGACUAUGGAUGCAAUUGACAUCAAGGCCAUAGCCAUCGUCAAUUUAAGUGGAGAGAAUUCUCAAAGCAUGAGGUUCCUUUGCACGAUUCCUCCCUUCUAACUCAGCUGUGCCGUUCUCAAGUGUGAACUCUGUAGAUGACAACACAGUAUCCCAGCGUCAAAAAGGAUGGACAUGCCCGCAGGGCACUGUAGUCAGAUUUUUCUUUGGGCCACCAGCUCACAAAUAACAACAUGGAGAGUAGCAGAAGCCCAAGAGACCAACCAGAUCAUGCCAGGUCCAAGAAGCCAGCAGCUCAGUCCAUGAGGCUGGAUGUCUCAGCUGCUCCUCAGAAGAUGCUGGAAUCCCGAAGAAGUAGUCUCUCAUGCCAUGAAGGAAUGGGUUUGCCGGUGAGAGGGAGAGCAAGAGCUUCCUCCUCCGAUGCCCGUUACAUAGGCUGCCAGAGGUCCAGAUGACAGACACCCCAAAAGAUCUGGGUUAAAGGUGAGUCUUCCCACUUCACACCCCACGGGGGUGCCCAGCUGCUUGGGUUUUAGUUCAUUCCAG
rnacentral:lncRNA from 1 species